rnacentral:tRNA from 1 species
AAAGGGAGACCUAAUUCAGGUAAAAGACGAAAAAAUAGUAGUCGAAACCAAGAAUCAAUCCCAAAAGGUCGGAACGAGGUAUGUGGCUUUCAAACUAGGUUCUGGGUUCAUAAAAGACCUGAAUCAGGAACAAGGGCUAUUAGCUCAGGUGGUUAGAGCGCACCCCUGAUAAGGGUGAGGUCCCUGGUUCGAGUCCAGGAUGGCCCACCUGCACAGGUGGUAAAAACAAGAGAAGCGAGGAAUCAGCACCUUAUCUUACUUACAUAGUAAGAGAGAAUGCUGGCUCUGAGUAAAGAGUCCAGAGGAACCUUGAAAACUGCAUAGAGCUAGGUGAAAAAGCCAAAAAAGAAGACCGCAAG